rnacentral:rRNA from 1 species
UUGGAGGGCAAGUCUGGUGCCAGCAGCCGCGGUAAUUCCAGCUCCAAUAGCGUAUAUUAAAGUUGUUGCAGUUAAAAAGCUCGUAGUUGAAUUUCGGGGUCAGUAGGCUGGUCGUGCCACGGGUAUGUACUGGUCUCACUGAUUCCUCCUUCCUGAUGAACCGUAAUGCCAUUAAUUUGGUGUUGCGGGGAAACUGGACUGUUACUUUGAAAAAAUUAGAGUGUUUAAAGCAGGCUAACGCUUGAAUACAUUAGCAUGGAAUAAUGAAAUAGGACGUUCGAUCCUAUUUUGUUGGUUUCUAGGAUUGACGUAAUGAUUAAUAGGGAUAGUUGGGGGCAUUAGUAUUCAAUUGUCAGAGGUGAAAUUCUUGGAUUUAUUGAAGACUAACUACUGCGAAAGCAUUUGCCAAGGAUGUUUUCAUUAAUCAAGAACGAAAGUUAGGGGAUCGAAGACGAUCAGAUACCGUCGUAGUCUUAACCAUAAACUAUGCCGACUAGGGAUCGGACGAUGUUAACUUUUCUUGACUCGUUCGGCGCCUUACGGGAAA